rnacentral:misc_RNA from 1 species
GUUUAAUAAUGCCCUUUCACUGCUCUCAAAACUGAUAACAUUUGAUCCAGCUUUUGUAUUUCUCUCUGCUGCUUCCUUAGUAAAUCCCAUAGGAAAUAUGCCUCCCUCAAGCUUACGCACAACAGUAAAAUGAGAAAGCAUCCCUGGUUUUGUCCAUUCGGAGGUUAACAUGGGCGCAUCAAUCUUUGCACUGUGACAGCAAAUGACAGAUGCAGAUACAAUUUCAUUUAUAUUUUGCUUUUGGUUGA